AGUGAACGCUGGCGGUAGGCCUAACACAUGCAAGUCGAACGGCAGCACAGUAAGAGCUUGCUCUUACGGGUGGCGAGUGGCGGACGGGUGAGGAAUACAUCGGAAUCUACUUUUUCGUGGGGGAUAACGUAGGGAAACUUACGCUAAUACCGCAUACGACCUACGGGUGAAAGCAGGGGAUCUUCGGACCUUGCGCGAUUGACUGAGCCGAUGUCGGAUUAGCUAGUUGGCGGGGUAAAGGCCCACCAAGGCGACGAUCCGUAGCUGGUCUGAGAGGAUGAUCAGCCACACUGGAACUGAGACACGGUCCAGACUCCUACGGGAGGCAGCAGUGGGGAAUAUUGGACAAUGGGCGCAAGCCUGAUCCAGCCAUACCGCGUGGGUGAAGAAGGCCUUCGGGUUGUAAAGCCCUUUUGUUGGGAAGGAAAAGCAGCAGGUUAAUACCCCGCUGUUCUGACGGUACCCAAAGAAUAAGCACCGGCUAACUUCGUG
rnacentral:rRNA from 1 species